rnacentral:rRNA from 1 species
UACGUAGGGGGCAAGCGUUGUCCGGAUUUAUUGGGCGUAAAGAGCGUGUAGGCGGCCAUACAGGUCCGUUGUGAAAACUGGAGGCUUAACCUCCAGACGUCGAUGGAAACCGUAUGGCUAGAGACCGGAAGAGGAGAGUGGAAUUCCUGGUGUAGCGGUGAAAUGCGCAGAUAUCAGGAAGAACACCCGUGGCGAAGGCGGCUCUCUGGGACGGUACUGACGCUGAGACGCGAAAGCGUGGGGAGCGAACAGG